GUGAGAUGUGCUGUGACUGUAGGAUGUUC
rnacentral:piRNA from 1 species